rnacentral:rRNA from 1 species
UCUCAGUUCGGAUUGUAGUCUGCAACUCGACUACAUGAAGCUGGAAUCGCUAGUAAUCGCGAAUCAGAAUGUCGCGGUGAAUACGUUCCCGGGUCUUGUACACACCGCCCGUCACACCAUGGGAGUUGGGAAUGCCCGAAGCCGGUGACCUAACCGAAAGGACGGAGCCGUCGAAGGCAGAUUCGAUAACUGGGGUGAAGUCGUAACAAGGUAGC